UGGAGUGUUAGCUGGCCCAGGGAGGGAUGUAGUAUGUGUUGUUGAUGUAUGUUGAGUGUGCAAAGGAUGGAUUCCCAUGUUGUGAGGAAUUGGAUGUGGAUAUGACUUGGUUUGACUGGACCUUUGGAAUAGGGAAAUGGUUAGGAGAUAUUGGACGAAUGGUCCUGGUUGCAAUUAAUGUAAUAAUUGUGAGUUUGAUGAUAAUAUACUUGAUGAUAAUAUGCAAAUGGGCUUUUCCCAUCAUUAUCAAGAAGUGUUUCCCAUCUCCUCCCAAUACCCAAGCUAUGUAUUCACCGG